rnacentral:rRNA from 1 species
AUGUUGAUGCAAGAUUAUUUUUCGGAGAAUCCUACAUAUCUUGCACACCUCUUCGGCAGAAGGUACCGAAUGCGCCGAUCCCUUUUUGUGAAAAUUGUUGAAGCUUGCGAGGCAAAUUGCCGGUAUUUCACUCAGAGAAGGAAUGCCGCGGGCUUAAAGGGAUUUAGUGCAUAUCAAAAAAUCUCCGCAGCUAUGCGGGUGAUUGCAUAUGGCGUUCCGGCUGACUAUGCGUUGGUGAAGAUAGCACAAUUGAGUCUGUGCGUAGAUUUGCGAAAGUGA